rnacentral:rRNA from 1 species
AGGAUAAACGCUGGCGGCGUGCCUAACACAUGCAAGUCGAACGCGCUUGCUAUCCGCGAGGACGGUGAGCGAGUGGCGGACGGGUGAGGAACACGUGGGUGACCUACCUUUCAGUGAGGGAUACCGGCGAGAAAUUGCCGACAAGACCGCAUACGCUUCUCUUUUCAAGGGGAGAAGGAAAGCUUUUCGCAAGAGAGGCGCUGGGAGAUGGGCCUGCGGCCGAUUAGCUAGCUGGUGGGGUAAUGGCCUACCAGGGCGACGAUCGGUAGCUGGUCUGAGAGGACGAUCAGCCACACUGGGAUUGAGAACGGCCCAGACUCCUACGGGGGGCAGCAGUGAGGAAUUUUCGGCAAUGGGGGCAACCCGUGACCGAGCAACGCCGCGUGCAGGACGACGGCCUUCGGGUUGUAAACUGCUUUUCUCUGGGACGAGCAAGGACGGUACCAGAGGAAGAGCCCGGCUAACUACGCGCCAGCAGCCGCGGU